GAUGAACGCUGGCGGCGUGCCUAAUACAUGCAAGUCGAACGCGAGAGGAGGGAGCUUGCUCCCUCUGAUCGAGUGGCGGACGGGUGAGUAACACGUAGGCAACCUGCCCAUCAGCCGGGGAUAACUGCGGGAAACCGUGGCUAAUACCGGAUAAUCCUCUCCACCGCGGGGUGGGGAGUUGAAAGACGGUUUCGGCUGUCGCUGAUGGAUGGGCCUGCGGCGCAUUAGCUGGUUGGCGGGGUAACGGCCCACCAAGGCAACGAUGCGUAGCCGACCUGAGAGGGUGAUCGGCCACACUGGGACUGAGACACGGCCCAGACUCCUACGGGAGGCAGCAGUAGGGAAUCUCCCGCAAUGGACGCAAGUCUGACGGAGCAACGCCGCGUGAGUGAAGAAGGGUUUCAGCUCGUAAAACUCUGUUGUUAAGGAAGAACGCCAGGUAGAGUAACUGCUACCUGUGUGACGGUACUUAACCAGAAAGCCACGGCUAACUACGUGCCAGCAGCCGCCGUAA
rnacentral:rRNA from 1 species